rnacentral:lncRNA from 1 species
CUUGAUAGCUCUGUUAAUUCUACUUACAUGUCUGUUUUGCUCUUUGAAGUUUGAUAUUUGGUUUAAAUGAAGCUGCAUACAGAGAGGUGAUGGAUAGAAGAGGAAGGGACCUGCCUGAGAGGUGGGCCAGAGAGGUUUCCUCGGGGUGCGAGGCUGAGGAAAGAGAGGGAUGUGCCCAGGUGAGAGCUGGGAGGGUUCACUCUUAGGUAUGUGGAAUAAGGAUCAACAUAAAAUUGUGAUAGAGGGCUUUGUAUUAUAUAUAUUAUAUUAUAUUAUAUUAUAUUAUAUUAUUAUAUAUAAAAUAUUAUAUGCCUUUUCGUUUGGUUUUUAUUGUAUCAUUUGUUGAAAAUUGUCAAUAAAAUUUAAUACAAAAAACCACAAACCCAUCCCUGGGGCUGUAUCUUGCAGGGGACGAUCAGAAGCAUUGGACAAGCUGUCUUUGAGGCAGCUUGUUGUCAUUUAAAAAUCCCCUGACAAGGCAUCAAGGAGGAUUCCAUUUUACACUGAUUCCUACACCAAAUCUGGCAAUUCCAAAAUUGAACCCUUUGCAUCUGUUUAUAUCCAUGCUGCUUGUACAUUAUGUUUGUUUAGUUUUUUAAAAAAGACUAAUUAUAUAGAAAUUUAUGUGCAACCUCCCCCCAUAAUAUGCACAUUAUUAUACACAAUAUUGUAUGCAUAAUAAUGUGUAUAAUUGUAUAGCAAUGUACAACAUUUCAAGAAUUUUAGUGGAAGCAUUGAGAUUAAGGAGCAAAAUGGGAAUUAGGAAAAAAAUUGUGUUGAGAGGUUUGAGCUGGAUAUUGAGGUUUUCAGAAAAUCCCAUCCCUGACAAGCUUCUGAGAAAUCCCAGAUGUUGAAAAAGCUAAUGUGGAAGUUCCUAAAUACUAAGGCAACUCCUACAACUAUCUGUUCUGCUAAUGUGCCUUGCUGCAGCCUCCCCCUCUGCCUCUGCCACUGGCAGAGAAGCAGCAGCAGCAUCAGUGCCAAUUUCCGGCAAGAUCUUGCAUGCUUCAUGAGACCUCGUGAGGCCGCGCUGGAAACUGGCGCUGAUGCCGGUGCCACUUCUCUGCCAGUCAGCUAAUUACACUACAGUAACACUCUGGUUACAAACUUAAUUCAUUCCGGAGGUCCGUUCUUAAGCUGAAACCGUUCUUAUCCUGAGGUACCACUUUAGCUAAUGGCUGCGCCAUUCACAUCCUGAGGCAAAGUUCGCAACCAGGAGCAGCUACUUCUGGUUUAGCGGAGUUUGUAACACAAAGUGUUUGUAACCCAAAGUGUUCGUAACCAGAGCUACCACUGUACUUAGUGAAAGCUGAACCGUUUGUAACCUACGUACCCUCUUGGACCUUUUAUUUGCUGAGGAGCAAAGUCUGAAACAGUCGGCUAUCCAGGAAGGACUGUCCUGCUACUGCCUCUGGAGCACCAACUUCUUUCAGGGUGUUCACUGCUAAAUAUAUGAACAAGUCGUGAAGAUAACCAGGCGCAGCUGUGCUGUGGUCGGGACUUGAUACUUAUUUUGGAAGGCAUGUUGCCUCAAUCAUUCUCUGUUUGAUACACCAUUGAAAAAAUCCCCUACUUGGGGAAAUUCUCUGAAGUCACAUUAGUGGGUGUUACCUUGCAUAUAUUGUAUGCCACUUGACUCUGAAUGAAGAUACAAUUUAGUAGUUAUAUAAAGUGUUGUAAUCAAAUUAUUAGCCUGUCGUGUUGCUUUUAGGUUGCCAGACUUCUCUGCCAGUGGCUGAAGUGGCAGGACAGGCUUCACCCCCCCCCCCCAGGGCUAAGCUGGGCCUGUCUACCAAACAAGGAGAUACUAGCACCUGGGAUGAAGCCAGAGUCUGGCUUUCUUGCAGUUGGGCUGAAGGCUCAAAGGUAUGCUGUUUGCUUUUCAGGAAACUGUGUUUGUUUACGAAUGAACGCUGUUUGCUCCCCAGUGCUCAGCAUACGUAUUUUUCUUUUAAAUAAACAGAUGCCACAGAAAUGACAGCAUAGAUCUCCAGGGCUCCCCCCAUACAAGGAUCCUUGUAAAAGGUUGCCCUCUGCUUAAGGGAAUGGAGAAUAUGAAAAACAUUACUGCUUCCAGCAGGAAGAGAACAAUAUUUUCCUCCUGAAUUAUUUUACUUUUAAGAAGAACAUGUAGCUUUACUUAACCAUUUCCUAGCAAGAGCAUUAAAACUUUUAUUUGAAAGUCUGCACAACACUUUUCAACCAGUUUUGAAUCUUGCCUUUCCCUUCCAAAAAGGGCCAGGCAUUGCCAAAAUUAGUAUAUAAAAACACCACAGUGGCUCAAGCUUUAAGGAAGCUACAUCAUUAAACAAGUGACACAAGUUUCAGAGGAUGCAUUUUAAUGCAAAGGCACUGUCGGAUAUCUGAUUGCUGCAUAUUAUACAAACAGAUGAACAGAAAUGUUACUAAAUCUAGCCUGAGCUCUGCAGAACAACAGUAUUUACAACCAAAAUAACUUGAGAUAUGUUGGCACACAAUCAAAAGCAAAAAAUAAAUGCAAAUUAGAGAUGAUCUCAUGGGCCUCAUUCCCCAAACACAAUGAAAUAGUAUUGCCUGAAAUUCUAAAACUGCACUUUACAGUUUAUUUAUGGCACUUUUUCCACCCAGCUGCCUUUCAAAUCAAUGCAGAGAUUGGAAGGGGAAUGAAAUGCGUGUUCCAAGUAAAGCCAGGAUCCAUUUUUCCAAGCUAUUCAUAAUCAAAUCACAUCUUGCAAUUUUGCAAAUGCCUAACACCUUCAGGCAAGCCAAACUAGGAUGCUGUUUAAGAUUUCAAUACAUGGGGUUGGGUUGGUGGCAGGGAUUCUCAUAGGUUUGCAGGUUCAUACCUGAAUAUAUUCAAGACCAAACUGCAAAAGCAUUGUGCAUGAUUCAGAGCUUUCCGCUGUUACUUUUUAGGACCUCAUAAUCACUAUGAAAAUGUUAGCAACCUCCUUUUUCCAGGUGGUUUGUAACCUCUGACAUCAAGUCCCCCAGAAGCAGUGCCCUUUGGUGCCUCAGAGACCGAGAGCCAUCUGAUUGAGCAAUUUAUUGUUUCUGGUCUUUCUCAAGUCAAGCACAAACAUGGCAUUUCCAUCUCCUGCUGUUUACCUCUGAGACUGAUGCCUGAUAUUCCGAAGUACAUGUCUACUCUACAUAAAGCAGGGGGAUGAGGCCUCCCAAGCAACUUCUCCUGCUGCUACAAGACUUCACUGAUUUUGUUCACACUGGCAAAAUGAUAAAAAUUCCUGGUGUGUGCUGUAGCUUCCCACUUUAGUCUCUCUUUCGAAAACACUUUCUAAAUGCAUAUACAUAUCUACAUAUCAUUGUUUAAAAUGUUUUUAUAUAUGUAACUGUUUUAUAUACGUUUUUAUUAUAUCCUGAACUGCUUCAGGAGCCUCAUGGGAAGCAACCCCUAAAUGAAAAUUAAUUAAUUAAAUAUGCAUAAGAAUAAUAAAGGUUUUGGUUCUCAGGAGGCUGUAUCAGCUCAAGACUGAGAGAACUCUUGAGGAUUUGGGCUUCAGCUUUCAGGGAGUAGGUCUUUUGUGCUUGAGUGGGCAGCAUCCCAUUCUCCUUAGUUGUGUCUGACCACCAGAUUCCCCUCCAAGCCUCCAUCUGUUUUGCUACUAUCCAGAACUUGACAACAUUGACAAACACAAGUACCACAUCCAGAAUUAGUUUGGCAAUGUGAUUUGAAUAGCAUAGUGUGGUUUUCCAUGGUGCAAAACUGGAGGCUUGUUGGUGUUUUUGUGGCCAUUUUAUUAUUAAUUAAUUUAUUCCCUGCCUUUCUCCCUGAAAGGCAGUUUGCAGAUGCAAAUAAGAACUGUUAUAAACAAAAAAUCAUUAAAAACUAUUAAACAUUGAUAAGAAUUUAAACUACAUACAUAUAUAAAAUAUAUUUUAAACCAUACAAAUAAUUAAAGUAAAAACAGCUGGGCACCUUUCUUGGAAUAGUGUAUGAUCAGGCACACCUUGUGUAUCACCAGCUGGUGGUGAUGAAGAGACUGCAGCUGAGGCUACUCUUUUCAGGGCCAAUUAAUUUCAAGAAAACAACUACAUGCGGAAUUCUUUUAUUGCAUUGUCCUUCAUUUGCUCUGAAAAGUUUCAGGCAGAAGUGGGGGUAGCCUCAGAAGAUGGAAUAGUGGACAUUUAACAAACAUUCAACGUGAUAAGUUACAACUUGAUAAGUUGCCUUUAUUUUAGAUUCUGAGCUCUUCAGAAGAGUCAACAUAGGCUGAAAAUCCCCCACUUCUGUGGACCAGCGAAAUGGUUCCCAGCCCCCUAAAGAAGCUCUCUGCAAGAUAGUAUUUCAUUCUGUUGGAUGUGUUUAAUUCAUCCCCAGAUGAGAAGUACAAGUGAAUGGUGUUAAAAGACAAUGCUCUUUGUUUAUUUCAAACAGCUGUAGCCAGGAUUAUUGAAAGUCAUUGACAUAAACGGCAGCUGCUAAGCCUGUAUCGUUGCUUAAAUGAUACAUGACAUAUAAAGAGACAUCUGCCUGACAUCACAUACUUGGCUUGCUUACCACCUGGCUCUGAGUUAUAUACGCUUAAACUGGAAGAGGGGCAUAACUGUAUCGACAGAAACAGUCAUUUUGGGGUCAUAUCAUUAUCAGAGGCAGAUUUAGGGCAGUAACUGGUUCCCCCCACUGGGCACAGAGACUAUGAUGUAGUGCACACACAGAACAGGAGGUGAGAGGCAGGGAGGGGCUCCAAAUUGUGGCCUCACACAGGGUGCUGCUGAAAUUUUACAGAUCAAAGUUGGCCUUGUCAUUGUCUGAAGGACAGAGCCCAUUGUUGGGAUCUUUGUGAACUUUUAAAGAUUAGGGUACUCAUCUCUGGUCUUUUUGAGCUGCAGCCAGUUGUUGAUAUUGCACAGCUCCUGAUAAUGCACAGGCUUCUAAUUGUUUUCAGCUGAACAUGAUUACAAGCUCCCUUCCAACCUUUGCACCAAACACAGGAGGUUGUGGGAGGAGAGGUGCACCUGAGAUGGUGGGCGGUUGAGAUAACCACUUGCCUGAACAGGCCUGUAGUUACAACUUGAUUUGCAGAAUUUUGCCAAAAAGGUUGGCUUCCACUAGAUACCCAAGUGGCUUUAAAAAAAUCUCACUAAAAUAAGGCCUUGAUGGGGAAAUAUUGGGGUUCAAUGCACAAUCCCCUGUGGGCUCAGCCACAUAUUGGCCAUAGGGCCAAUAAAAUCCAGGCUCCAGUCGUCAGUCAAACUGGACAUCUAUUUAGGAGUUGCAAGGCCAGUGUGACACAAGCUCAACCAGCAAGUAGCUGAGGGGUCUGCACCUUAUACGGCACCUAGCAGAAUAUUCCUCUCCAAAAGUUGUCAAACCACUUGCAAUCUACUUUCGGAUUGAAACAUCUCAGAUUCAAAUGGGAUGUAAUCUCUUUUGGAUUUUUUCAUAUCCUAUAACUUUUAGGAUUCCAAAUAAGAGUUAUUUUGUGCAAAUUUGGCAAAAUCCCACUGUGUGAGAAAUACAGUGGGACUCGGCCAAAUUUAGCAGAGAGGUUUGUUAUACUGUGGGAAAUGGUUGUGAAGUGUUAAAAACACCAAAGUGUGGGCAGAAGAGAAGUGCUUUGUGCAUGGGCUUUACUUGGUUUCAUCAGUUUGCCAGGGAUGGAGCAAGAACAUCUCCUUCAACAGCAAUUCCUCCUGUGUCAGGAAUUUGUGCAGUGGCACAUCUCCAGCUUGGAGUUAAAAUCCUUGGACAAGAUAACUAACCACUCAGAUUGUCAUCUUGCAUCUGCUAAUAAAACAGAAAAGAAUCCUAAAAUGCGCCUUCCAACAGACAUAUAGCUGACAUACUGCUGAGCUUGUAGAGGGGGAAGUACCUUAAUAGCUUUGGCUUUUGGUCUGAUGGGUAUGAGGUGUACUUUCAUUCCUGUAAACAUACAGGAAUCCCUGGCUGUGCACAGAGAACUACCCCCACCCAUGGGAGCACCCACAACUUUUAGGGAGCAAUACAGACAUUUCCCCUCUAAGCUGACUGUAUACCAAUUAUGGUGGACCCCACCUUUUGUACACAUACCAUAAUAGCCACUACAGGUUAUCUUUUGGGCUUUUUUGUGAAUCCUUCUGUCCUCAGCAGCAGUGGAGGGUGCUGUCCCAUGGCUAAGAUUGAAGUAAGCUUCAGCUGUAAAUCCAGCCAGUACAGUGGUACCUCAGGUUACAUAUGCUUCAGGUUACAUACGCUUCAGGUUACAGACUCCACUAACCCAGAAAUAGUGCUUCAGGUUAAGAACUUUGCUUCAGGAUAAGAACAGAAAUCGGGCUCUGGCGGCACGGCAGCAGCAGGAGGCCCCAUUAGCUAAAGUGGUGCUUCAGGUUAAGAACAGACCUCCAGAACGAAUUAAGUACUUAACCCGAGGUACCACUGUAUCUGCCAAUGGACUGGGCAGGAGGCACCAUCUUGUCCUUUGCUCCAGGUGCCAAGAAGUACCAGGCCAGCCUUCAUAUUGACUUGUUCCAGCAGAUCAAGUCUUGUGUUCUUUGUGGUAUCUAGACUAUCAUAUAGCCUAUAUGGUUGCCGUGUUCAUUCACUGCAUUUUUCAUUGAAGUAGCUCAGUGGAAUAUCAUAUGUUUAGUGUACAGAAGAUUCCGGGUUCAAUCCUUGGCUUCUUCAGUUGGGUAGAACUGGGGAGCUGGUGCAGUCAGUGCAGAUGAUACUGAACUAGGUGGACCAGUGACAUGACUCAGGAAGACAAGAAGUGGCUUUAUGCUAUGCAGUUACUUCAAAAGUGUGAAACUGCCAUUACAGCUCAAUUUCCUGUAUGUCCAUCAGUUCCCAAACAGUAUAACUAGGGUUAUAGUUAACAGUAUAAGUAGGCCAUAACUAGUUGGCUUUGGUAGCACUUCAAUCAAUUGUAUGAAUUCCCUCUUAGCAAAAUAUUUUCCCACUCUUUCACUUAUAUAUAGGAGCAUUAAAGAGUGUAAGCCUGCAGUCCUACAACCUGAGAGAAAGUCCAUUUGAGUUCAGUGGCGCUUACAUCUAUAUGGUUGUUCUGUAAAUGCUUUUGACAAUCCAUCAGUAAUCUAUUUCUCAGGUUAUUUGAUGGGGAACACAGCAAGAAACUAAGGCCUUGAUUUGAGUACACAGGACUUUUCGAUCCCCAAAGCAUACAGUGGUGCCCCGCAAGACGAAUGCCUCGCAAGACGGAAAAACCGCUAGACGAAAGGGUUUUCCGUUUUGAAGUUGCUUCGCAGGACGAAUUCCCCUAUGGGCUUGCUUCGCAAGACGAAAAUGUCUUGCGAGUCUUGAGAUUUUUUUUUCGCUUUUCCCCCCCUUUAUCUAAUCUGCUAAGCCUUUAAUAGCCUUUAAUAGCCUUUUAGCAGCUAAUCCCCUAAGCCUUUAAGCCUUUAAGCCUUUAAUAGCCGCUAAACAGCUGAUAGCGCUAAUAGCGCUAAUCCGUCAAUGGGCUUGCUUCGCAAGACGAAAAAACCGCUAGACGAAGACUCUUGCGGAACGGAUUAAUUUCGUCUUGCGAGGCACCACUGUAC